rfam:Picea glauca, whole genome shotgun sequence.
UCUUGUGUACAUGCCUGCAACAUAGCAUUAAUUCAUUGGAUCCCAUUAGAACCCUGUAGUUAAGCAUGCUAAGGCUAGAGUAGUACUGGGAUGGGUGAUUUCUUAGGAAGUCCUAGUGUUUUACAUGAC